rnacentral:lncRNA from 1 species
UCUUUACAGAAUUCACGGACUGUCCCGGGAGCUCCGGCAAGGUCCUGGGUUCUGUCUGAAGACUGCUGGGAGUUUUCCCAGCGCUGUGACUCGGAGGGCCACUAUAACCCACAGGGACCUUCCUGCAGUGCUUUGGGCUGUGUGCUUGGCAGGGCCUGGGGGACAUGCCAGCCCACCAAGGCCAGAUGGCGACCGAGGAAGGAGAGGAUUCCGGGCUGCUGUCCAGGCGCCCUGACAUCGUCUAGACAACAGCCUGACUCAUCUGGGAGGGAGAGACGGUGCGAAGGGGAAACAAGGCAGCGCAAUGGCCCCCCUACUCCCCCAGAUGCCUGUCGGAAGGACGCGUUCGAUGCCUCUCUCCCCUCUGAGGCACAGCCUAAGCUCGGGAUCCGGCACUCCACGUGGCAGCCCUCUUUGGCAGCACUUCCGUCGGUGAACAACUUUCCCAGAUCUCCCCCCAGACCUAGACUAGGGUGCACUUUGCAUCCCUUGUUACGGCCAGCAGGGACCAACAUGGCACGGGGCGCAGGCCCAGAGUUCCCAGUGAAACACGGGUUCCCAACUUUUCAGGGCUUGAAUCAGGACCAGCCAGCCUGGGGGCACCCUGAGCUUGCCAGCACAUCUCUGCUCCUCUCCGUCUCCCUUUUCCAGGGGAUUCAGGGGAUUUGCUGAUGCCGAACCCAGAAGCUCUCUGGGGUUCUGUUUUAGAGGGUUCACAGGUCCCAUGGCAAGGGGGGCCAGCAGGAGGCAGGAGCUGGGAGGAGGCCCCGGCUCCGAGCCACCUGGGACCUGCACAGGCAGAGAGAUGUCAGCCCCAGGGAUGAAGAGGGGCCCAGCUCAGAGUUCCAGAUUCCAGCCAGCCCACUCUGGGAGGGUCCUAGCCCAGCCUGAUCCUCUAAUCCCAGGCUGGACCAGGACCUCAGGCCCCUCCCUUAAGCCAUUGGAAUGAGCCCCUCUCCCUAGACUGCUCCCAACCUCUAAACCGCACCCCAGAGUUUGGAUUCCCCCAGGGCCCCCACCCACCAGGCUGGGCAUCUGAGGGUCCCUCCUGCCCCCUGCAUCCCCACCCUCCUUCCCUCUCUCCCUCUCCUAGCCACCUUCUCCCCUCCCCAAGACUGCCAAGAUAAAGCUGGAGAACAGAUGGAGGGAGCGUGGCUGCCCUGGAUUUCCCCUCAUCUGCGGGAUCACUGGGGCUCAUGGAAGGCAGAUGUGCUCUCCCACAGACCUAACUGGGAGGCUAGUUAGGACGGGGAGCUCACCACCAGCUUAUCGGAACAAUACAAUGCCCAGAUGAUGGAAGCAGGAACAGGAGGUGGAGGAGGAAACUCCAGGUCUGAGGAAGUUUGGGGUCAGGAGCCCCCUCCAGUGCUCCCAUUGGUUGGAGGGUGCCCACAACAUGGGGCCAACCAGGGGCCUCUGAGUGGGGCCUCUCAAUAAAAUCGGUUUUAUUUCUAAUACUCGUCUCCA